UGGCGAACGGGUGAGUAACACGUGGGUGAUCUGCCCUGCACUCUGGGAUAAGCCUGGGAAACUGGGUCUAAUACCGGAUAGGACCAUGCUUUAGUGUGUGUGGUGGAAAGUUUUUCGGUGUAGGAUGAGCCCGCGGCCUAUCAGCUUGUUGGUGGGGUAAUGGCCUACCAAGGCGGCGACGGGUAGCCGGACUGAGAGGUUGGUCGGCCACAUUGUGACUGAGAUACGGCCCAG
rnacentral:rRNA from 1 species